rnacentral:rRNA from 1 species
CGCGUAGGCGGUCUUUUAAGUCAGGUGUGAAAGCCCGGGGCUCAACCCCGGAAGUGCACUUGAAACUAAGAGACUUGAGUAUGGGAGAGGGAAGUGGAAUUCCUGGUGUAGCGGUGAAAUGCGUAGAUAUCAGGAGGAACAUCGGUGGCGAAGGCGACUUCCUGGACCAAUACUGACGCUGAGGCGCGAAGGCGUGGGGAGCAAACAGGAUUAGCUACCCUGGUAGUC